rnacentral:lncRNA from 1 species
UCAAACAUUCCACAGCAAGGUGAAAACUCUCUGAUUACAGGGUCAAACAGAUACUAUAAAAUCACAACACGAGAUGAUCUAACUGCAUGAUCACAACAUGAUUCUAGUCCCCUCAUCAAGAUAUGCACACAGGCCCGCAUGCCACCACUCAGCUGUGCGUUGAGCAGAAUUUGAGGUAUCACGAUGUUCCGAGUUUUCUUCAUCCCAGUGUUUUCUUCAUGUGCUCGAUCAUCCUGCACUGCUGCACAAGGGCAAGCAAUCAAUUAGUCCCAGUAUUCAUGCACGGGUCACAUUAUGACCGCAGAUCAAAUAUUUCACCACAAUGAAGUUUCACUAUUGUAACCUGCAGUUCACAGAAUAUAUAUAUGGCUCUAACGAUGUAAAACGGAUUAAUCAGGAAGCAAAGCCACCAUUAUUUUACCAUGGUACUCCUACCGAUCAACCGAUUAAUCAUGUAAAACGAAUUAAUCAGAAAGCGCACUUGCACAUUUCUGAUGAACAGCACAGUUGGGUCAAAGCAAUGAAGCAUCAGGUGUUGGACUAGAUGUUCACCUGUGCAUUUUGCGUGCCUUGAUCAGCGAGACAAGAAGCAGCUUCCGUGGCACAGAAUGGAACAGGCUUCUAAUUUUUUGUAUUGUCCUUUGCCGCAUCCAGUGAUCAGUCCAAGUGCAGUCAAUCUGAUGACAUACUGACAGUACAACCGAAAAGAAUGGAGUCAAUAUGCAUUCAGAACAAUGAUGUGAGCUAGAUCAAUAGCAGAAUUAGUUGACGGGAGAGGCGAAGCACCAGCAUACAUACCUCAGUUGCCUGGAGAACCACCACCGCACGAGGGAAGGAACCACUUUCGUACGUGCCCUUUAUGUAUAGCUACCUCAGUUGCCUGUGCGGGUGCUUCAAUGUAUUUAUGGGGAAUAGAAGCGAUCAAGUCAAAGUACUCCCCACCUUCUCUGCAACGCCUCUGCAGGUCAGGGCAGUGAUGUAUGUAUAGGUAUUUGAGGGCUGGGAGCCGCUGCAGGAGACCCUGCGGAAAUUUCUCUAUCCCUGGACAUAAUCCAAUAUCAAGGGAAGUGAGACCAUCCAUCCCAUCUGGCAACGCUUUCAGUGCCUCGCAAAACAGCACACUGAGUCUCCUCAGCUUGACCAGAUCUCCGAGGUUUGAAGGCAGUGCCACUAAACUUCUGUUGUUGUCAAUCCUGAGUUCCUCGAGGGAUGCGGGAAACUCGGGGAGCAGAGGAAGGAUUCCGUCUUCCUCAGAUGACGAGCCCUUCCCCUCAAGUUUGGAGCAAUACCAAAUGUUCAGAGAUCGAAGGCGAGGAAAACAACGGAGUUCCUCCACGGGCCAGCGGACAAUAUUGUGGCAUGACAUGAUAUUCAAUUCUUCCACAGAGACCAACCAGUCCCUAAGCCCAAGUUGCAAUUUGGAUUUAUUAAAUAUCGUUAUGAAGGCGUCGUCACCCUUAAGCGCCAAAGAUCGUAGUGUGCACAAAGGUCUUUGACUCUGGCUUUCCUCGCCAUCUGGAGGCAUCACCACAUCUACCAGCAAAUGUGAUAUUUCUAAGUGGACAAGAGAUGGCAAAGAGCCCAAAGACAUGCGCAUCGAAAUAAGAGCUCCUGUAGAAUUAUUCCAGGGGAAACCAGAUAGGUAUAGAUGUGUGAGAACCGGUAACCUUGGGAGACUUGCAAGCUUAUCGCAUUUCUCAAUUUCUAGUUUUUCAAGCCGGGGAAACGUCAGCGAGCUAAGAAUCUCUCCAGCACUAUUUUCUGCCCAUCUGUCCAACUCAGGCAAAGCAAUUAAUUCCAUCCUCUUUAGCUUGGGGAAUAUUUGCAGAGAGGUAUUGUAUGCUUCAGCUUUCACGUUGAUGUUCUUACACAACGUGGUCAAGCUUUCCAUACCCCGUAAACACAAAUGCUCAAGAGAGGAUGACAACCAUACUAUUGGCAGGUCCUUACAUCCUCGGCAUCCGAUCAUAACGAGUUCUCUCAAGCACCGGAACAUUUGAGGAUUUCUCAUCCAUUGCGAGAUUGUGAGUCCACCAUAACUAUGCACCUCCAAAAUUUUUAGCUUAUCAUGAGGUUCAAGAGAUUCCAAUACUUGCUCAUGAUUAGUGGCCUCACCAAUUGUAGACUUGUCAUAUUCAUCACGACAAUGAUCCCAAUACAACAACAGUUCAUUUAGAUUAUGUUUCUCAUGGAGAUUGGCCUUCGACCCACACUUUACUUCCCGCAAAUUAUACAGUUCCAACCUGUUGCCAAUCUGUCGUAGGUCUUCGAGCUCCUCGAUUCCACAUCCAUCUUUUGUGCCCACAACAAAUGUUGUUAGUGUGCGAAGGUUGUGCAGUACACUAAGUUUUGGGGGCAUUCGUUCCAAUUUACAACACCCCAAGAGAUAAAUAUGGCAGAGCUUCCUCAUAGUUCUCAUACCCUCAGGUAAAUAUUGUAGUUGGGAGCAGCCAUUAAGCCUCAAAGACAGUAAGUUAUACAACAUGCAGAUUGAGUUUGGCAAGCUAACAAUAUUUGAGCGAGAGAGAUCAAGAUACCGCAAAUGUGCUGUGUGUGUGAGCUCCAUAUGGACGAUUGAAGUAUCUCCACAACGAAUACUUAAUGCUCUUGAUGACAUCAGUUUUAACUUCACCGGAUCCUUGUAUGAUGAUUCUGGCGUCAACAAAGUGCGAAGAUACAUAGUGCCUCCGAGUAACUGGCUGAUUUUGUUCAAUUGAUCAUCUCUCGAAAUAUGCAAGUGACGGACGUCAUUUACAGGCAGAUUUUGCUGAAUUAACACUUCCGCAUUUGCACAUUCAUUUGCAACAUCUUUUGCAAGGUCAUGCAUCAAGUCGUGCAUUUUACAUCCAUUUAUCUCUUGUUUUGAGGCAUAUUUAGAAUAAUAAGAAGGAUCAUAGGGCUUCCUCACUAAUACCACAUCUUGGAAAAAGGACCUCCAAGCCAACUCGUUGAAGACAUAUUCCCCUUUUUGUGUCAAGUCCAUCGUCCCCUCUUCAUUAACAUAACCGUUUGCCAUCCAUAGUUGAAUCAACAUGUCCUUCUCCAUCACAUAGUCCUUGGGGAAAAUUGAACAGAAGGCAAAGCAUUGCUUCAUCUCAUGGGACAAGUGCUUGUAGCUCAGUUUUAGUAUGGGCAAUACCUCAUCUUUACCUCUAUCGGUAUCACUAAUAUUGCAAUCUGCAAUGACCUCCCAUUCCUGGAUUUGAUAUUUCGAACUCAUCAAUCCACCCAUUGUCUUCAGUGCAAGAGGCAGUCCCUUGCACUUCUUGCUGAUACAUCUGCCAAUUUUGACAAACUCUGCUUGCUCUUGCACUCCUUUACUAAAUGCUUUCUUUGAGAACAAUUCCCAUGAAUCAUCUUCACUCAAACACACUAAUUCAUGAGGUGGAAGGGUGCCCAUUAUUGACGCCACUUGUCGGCUUCUACUUGUGACAACUAUCAUGCUUCCUGAUCCACCAAUUGAAGAACAGAGUAGCGGCCUCAAGUCAUCCUCCCACUUCUUUUUGUCUUCGUUCCACACAUCGUCGAGAAUGAGUAGGAACCUUUUGCGGCCAAUAGCUUCCUGCAAUUUUCCUCGCAGCAGCUCGAUCGUGUCAGGCAGAUCACAUCUGCUAUUUGUAGCCAACUCAAUUACAGACCUAACAAGAGGAAUAGCUUCAAAAUUUUCUGACACGCAGUGCCACAUCCUCAAUUCAAAGUGCUUCUGAAUUUUGUCGCUGUUGUACACCAUCUUGGCUAGCGUGGUCUUGCCCACACCCCCCAUUCCAAGGAUGGGCAGCACUUGUACAUGCUGCCGAUCUUGCUGGUCCAGCAACAGUUCCACCACCCCAUCUUUGUCAUCUUUUCUGCCAAUUAUCUCCAUGGAUUCAUCCAGCGCUGAGUGCGUCUGCCGAGGAAGAGCUUGCGGCGGCCCCUCCGGAAGCGCCACCAGGCCAAACUUUGUCAUCUCGGUCACGAGCUCGUCAAUCUUUUCGAGCACGUUCUUCAGGUCUCUGCUCGCUUUAUGACGGAAUACAAGACGAUUCUUUGAGGUGAAGUUGCUCAGUACCUUGCUUGCCAUGGACUGGCCGCUCAGGGCCUCACGGCGCAGUGCCUCGUACUGGAAGUCGUCGAGGACGUCGUCGGCCUGGUACGCGGCGGCCUUGAGCUCCUUCAUCCACGUCCGGACGGCGUGGUUGGUCUCGCUCUUCGCCUCGGCGUCGGCCAGCAAGGACUGCACGUACACCAGGUGGCGCUCGAGCUUGAGGCGGUCCUGGUCGACGCCCCACAUGCGAGUGAUGCUCUGCACGAGGGCGUCAGCCGCCUUGCCGACGACGCCGCGCACCACGGGGAGCAGCAGCGACUCUGCCAUGUUUCCUUGCUCGCAGGGCUUCCUUGCUCUUCCUCAACGGCUCAACCACAGGGAGAUCUGAGAAGAGGCAAACUGUGUGCGACUCCUUAACAAACUCCCCAAAAAUUGCAAGUUGUGCCUGGCACUGCAAAAGAAAAAAAAAACAUUAGCAUUUAUGCCCGCUGUUGCACAGUGAUCCUGGCUGAGAACAAGAACUGAAAUGGACACGAAACAAAUAAAUUUCAAUGCAGAAAAUUAGAAACGAAAAUGGAAAUAAACGAGAAUAUUACAGAAUCCAUUCCCCACCGAACCAAGAACAGAGAAGAAAGCUCGAGAAUGCAAGAAACCAAAGAAAUGAAAAAGUGAAUGAUUUACCCCCCAAAAACUCACCCUUUCUCGCACCAGCCGCCGCACCCAAUGACCCAGUGGAGGAGCGGAGGAGGGAACAAAACCAAGGUCCUGGACUCCUGGUGGAGAUAUCGGUCGGAGCCCUCCUGGCUUUUCUUGGUUUGGCCCCUCUCUCUUUCGUAGAGCUCACUUUCAGGCUUCGCCACUUCUGCUUGGCCGCCGCUGAUGGGAGAAGACUGUCGAACAAAUAUGCCAACUGCCACCCUGACCUCAAGUUGGUAGGGUUGGGUCCUUUAUUUCUUAUGGGAAUAGAUUAUUGCUACCUGGCAGCCUUCUAUUGGCUGCAAUUUUCCUUUCCUGUCAAUGUUCGUUUGUGGAGGUUCUCUGAGGAAAAAAGAUUGGUUUGCGGCGCUCUUUGCCUCUAUCAUCAAUUCAAUCAAAGGAAAGAUCAAUAAAGAAAAAGAAAACAUGUGUACAAAAUGAAGAAGAUAUGACACUACUUUAUUUUCAUGUAUCUAUCUAAGAAUAGUAGAAAGUAGAAACAUUCCAGCUUUAUUCUGAAUACAGUAAAAUUUAGUGAAGAACUAAAAUAACUGUAAGAAGGUAAAGCGUGGUCCUUAGAUAAGGAAAUAUUACAAACUAAUCUUAAGCUGCAAACAAUGGAAGGUCACCUAUCACUGUCCAGAGAGGCUAGUAUGCUGUUGUAACAGUAAGGUUUAGCUAGCUCACAUUUUUCUCUAAAGAUUAGCUGUUGCAUGGUAACUCUUGCAAUUAAGCAGUAGCUAACAAUGCUAGUUAAGCAGUACACAGCCAAUUCACAAUGUAAAGAAAUGGUUUUGACCAGUGUUUGCUGUUUAGCACACAUGGUCAGCAAAAACACCAUCCGAUACUUUUAUCACUAACAGAGAGCAUAAAGAAAACUUAGUGGGUGCUGGUCCUUUUCACCCCUUUAAUCUCCCUUUUAUCCCCUAAAUCCUUUUACUAACAAUCUUUCAAUGAUGUUGCCGGCCGGCCACCAUCACACUCACCGGUAAAGGUAAAAAGCAGAUAAACAAACUCGCAUUAAGAAAACCAAAAUCACCAUACGUUGCACGUGAUGAUGCCGAUCGAGUAUUAGCUCGCAACAUUAUAUAUCCUGGGCCCACAUGACACCAUGGUGAGUGGUGCUAAUAGUAAACUUAUGUCCUGGAUCUUGGGGCCCCACGUGUGUGGGCUCCUGCAGCCGAAAGCCUCCAAGGCAAGGCAUGAUCACUUAGCGAGGAAGAACGUGGUGGUGGUUUCAUGGUGGAGAAGAGUACAAGAACGCAUGUGCCUUCCUGUCUCCAUUGCUUUGUCAUAAAAAAAAUGAUGUAUUUUCUUUAAAUAGUAUGAGUGUGCCUUUAGGUUGGCAAAAGCUCAUCCAUUUUCUAUUUUUCUUUCAAAGGUUAUGUAAAAACUCAAGUACUCAUAAUUUCAAGCAUGUAUGUGAGUAAAAGAAUUCAGUAACACAAAAGCUAUGGAUAUCUGAAUUUGGUAGGAGUAGAUUGAAGACUGCAUUAUUUUUGCUGUUUACUGUUCUGAUGACAACUUACAGAGCCACCUGAAAGCGUAGGGUUUUUUUUUAGAGAGAGCAUGUGAAAUCUCCAAUUAAUGAGAAGAGCAUAUAUGUUUGUGUCCCAAAACGAAAUAAUGGGACAGACAUCUCCCAGGAUCAUGUUAAAUAAUGCUAGGCGCAUCAUGUGAUGAGAGCACCUAAUCCGGGCCUUUUUUAUGUGUAGGUGACAGGGGUCACGCCACCUAAUGCGACUCUGCAAACAAUUCUUUACGGACGCCUGGCUGCUGCCUGCGCCCCGUGAGUGCCAUCAGUAGAGUAUUCAGCAACUUGCUGCUUGAUUUGCUGCCUGCGCCCCAUGAGCAUGCACCUACUGGGCUGGCUUCACUCCUGGCCCGCUUCGGCGGCAAAUUAAAUGGCCCCAAAGCGAGAGGGAGGUGGUGAAGGUAAGGAAGCUUGAGCUGGAAUAGAUGGGAACGAGGAAAGCAACCAGUGAAGACUGAAGAAGCGGAAUUAUGGGGAUACUAGUAGGAGAAAGAACAGGUGGCUGAUAUUCUGGUCACCAAUGUCAAUUGUCAACUGAAGCUGGACAAAAGCGAGUGGGUGACACUGAAAAGUAUAAGACUAAUGGGAGAACGCUACGCGCACAAGUUGACUGACUUGUGUGCGUGCCAAUAGACCAAUAAUAGUAGUUGACUGGUUGAGUGUCAGCAUCUCCGUGGGGGAGGAACCCGUUCAGGCAUUUCUACAAGCACAGCGCGUGCAGCUACAGGAGGGGAGAGAGGAAUGGAAUAUGUGAGAACAGGAGCUUAGAAGAAAGAGGAUACGACCUGAUGCGAGGGCAGCACUUGGUACUCGGCGAGCUCAGUGCGCCACCACUACUGUCAAACUUGGACUGCAACAGCAUCGGUGUAUACAGCUCCAUCUGUUUCCUGAAUUCCUGUGAGCCGGAUAAAAAAAUGACGGUCACAAUCGCUGUCAGUGGAAGAAAUACAGGAUCACAAAUUCACACUGAUUAUAGAUAAAGGCAGUGCGCACGCGCUCCCAAUGUGACUAUGUGAGCCAGCCGGCCGGCCAGGCGUUUUUACAGCAACAGGGAUGGGCGGUCGAGAUGGGCAAGCGGCGAUGGCCACCAACUGGAGGAAAGAAAUUGGAUUGCACAACCAGACAGGAGACAGCCAGCGCGUGCGCUCGGUGUGACGAGAAGUCCCAUGGCCCGCUGGGUAAUUUCUACGAGCACCCCGCGUUCAUAGCACAGCAAACAUCCGGCGGACCGAGAGUGUGCGGGACCUGAGGAAGAGCAGAGCAACCAUCCGGCGGCCGGCGUGCGCCCAACGAAGGACCAGCAGGGGCGCGAGCGGCGGCGGCCCAAGGGCCCCAGCAGCAGUUGAUGAACAGACGCGCGGUCGCUGCGCGGUUAACCCGGCGCCCGGCGGGAUCGGGAGAAUCAAACCGCCUUGUCAUUUGCUGGGCCGGACGAGGAGCGAAGGAUGCUUGUGUGGCAAACAGUUUCAGUGUGCGGCUGCUCGAGAUUAAGUGUGGCAAACAGUUUCAGUAAUCGCUUGCACACAAAACAACAAACUUCCUUAGCUCUCUGGUAGCAAAAUUUGGCCAUAACCAAUUCCACGGCAAGGUGAAAACUCUCUGAUUACAGGGUCAAACAGAUACUAUAAAAUCUCAGAGUUCUGGACAUCAUUUGCAAACAACAAAUAAAUCGUCCGAGACCCAACCUCCGGUGGAUGCUCUCUUUCUUGGGCGUAUUUUCAAACACGGCUCUUGUUCUCGACACGAGAUGAUCUAACUGCAUGAUCACAACAUGAUUCUAGUCCCCUCAUCAAGAUAUGCACACAGGCCCGCAUGCCACCACUCAGCUGUGCGUUGAGCAGAAUUUGAGGUAUCACGAUGUUCCGAGUUUUCUUCAUCCCAGUGUUUUCUUCAUGUGCUCGAUCAUCCUGCACUGCUGCACAAGGGCAAGCAAUCAAUUAGUCCCAGUAUUCAUGCACGGGUCACAUUAUGACCGCAGAUCAAAUAUUUCACCACAAUGAAGUUUCACUAUUGUAACCUGCAGUUCACAUAAUAUAUAUAUGGCUCUAACGAUGUAAAACGGAUUAAUCAGGAAGCAAAGCCACCAUUAUUUUACCAUGGUACUCCUACCGAUCUACCGAUUAAUCAUGUAAAACGGAUUAAUCAGGAAGCGCACUUGCACAUUUCUGAUGAACAGCACAUUUCUGAUUAAUCCGGUGUUGGACUAGAUGUUCACCUGUGCAUUUCACGUGCCUUGAUCAGCGAGACAAGAAGAAGCUUCCGUGGCACAGAAUGGAACAGGCUUGUAAUUUUUUGUAUUGUCCUUUGCCGAGAAACGAUAAUGCUUAUGCAGCACAAAACCGCGUCCAGUGAUGAGUCCAAACCCAACUGAACUUCAAGUGCAGUCAAUCUGAUGACA